rnacentral:misc_RNA from 1 species
GAUGAAGAACGUAGCGAAAUGCGAUAAGUAAUGUGAAUUGCAGAAUUCAGUGAAUCAUCGAAUCUUUGAACGCACAUUGCGCCCCCUGGUAUUCCGGGGGGCAUGCCUGUUCGAGCGUCAUUACAACCCUCAAGCUCUGCUUGGUAUUGGGCCCCGCCAGUUCUGGCGGGCCCUAAAGUCAGUGGCGGUGCCUUCCGGCUCUGAGCGUAGUAAUUCUUCUCGCUCUGGAGACCCGGUUGUGUGCUUGCCAACAACCCCCAAUUUUUUAAGGUUGACCUCGGAUCAGGUAGGGAUACCCGCUGAACUUAAGCAUAUCAAUAAGCGGAGGA